rnacentral:rRNA from 1 species
GGACUACCAGGGUAUCUAAUCCUGUUUGAUCCCCACGCUUUCGUGCUUGAGCGUCAGUAAUGGUUUAGCAAGCUGCCUACGCGAUCGGAGUUCCUCGUUAUAUCUAAGCAUGUCACCGCUACACAACGAAUUCCGCCUGCUUCAUCCACACUCAAGAUCGAAAGUAUCAACGGCAGCCUUCAGGUUAAGCCUGACUAUUUCACCGCUGACUGUUCGAUCCGCCUGCGCACCCUUUAAACCCAAUAAAUCCGGAUAACGCUUGCAUCCUCCGUAUUACCGCGGCUGCUGGCAC